rnacentral:rRNA from 1 species
UGAGGAAUAUUGGUCAAUGGGCGGAAGCCUGAACCAGCCAAGUAGCGUGCAGGAUGACGGCCCUACGGGUUGUAAACUGCUUUUAGGCGGGGGUAAAGGGGCGGACGUGUUCCGCCUUUGCAAGUACCGCCAGAAAAAGGACCGGCUAAUUCCGUGCCAGCAGCCGCGGUAAUACGGAAGGUCCGGGCGUUAUCCGGAUUUAUUGGGUUUAAAGGGAGCGUAGGCGGGCUGUUAAGUCAGCUGUGAAAUCCGGCGGCUCAACCGUCGGCCUGCAGUUGAUACUGGUGACCUUGAGUGCGCGCAGGGGCGUUGGAAUUCAU